rnacentral:tRNA from 1 species
GCGGGCGUGGUGAAAUUGGCAGACACGCAGGAUUUAGGUUCCUGUGGGGAAACUCGUGGGGGUUCAAGUCCCUCCGCCCGCACCA